CUCAAAUUUAAACACUUCUUUUAAUACUCGUGUGUUUGCACCCCUUGAAGAUAUUCUAUUUAUUUCCAAUUGUAAAUCAUCGCUAAUAAAACAUCUCUUUUUGGGACUUUGUCUUAAGAGGUUUGUUCUUUACACAAUCGUCUGAUCCUUUUUUUAAUAUUUAACAACUACCCGCACGAAACACUUCUCUUGGCAGGUAUGUGGGCGACAAUCAGCGUCGAAAUCAGAACUGGAAGAUCACUACUUCAGUUUGGAAAAGAUUGAGGGUACUAUUGAUUUCUAUUUCUCCUUUUAUGCCGAUAUCAUCUGUUUCCCUUUACCUUUUAUGGGUCUAAAUUUUAGCCAAUUUAACUCACAGGAUUUUUCUCUCUCCCACGUUAUGCCGCCAUGUGUUGUUACCUUUUCCCUCCAAUAACGUCCUUUGACACGUAGGAUAAUUCAAAACCCUAUCAACAAAGUAUCAAUUACCCUGUCCAACAAGAUCAAUUAUUUUAAUGACUAUGAUUUUUUAUUUUUUAUUUUUCAGAAAUCAGGUUUACCCUAUACCACGGCACAUCCCACCCUAACCCUGAAACCACUUUUACCCAAAAUUUUCUUCCAGUCCUAAACUGCUGGCCGCCUUCAUUUCCACAUCCCAAACCAAUUAACGCUAGCCUCCAGCCUUUCUUCAUCCUCCUCUUCCUUGUUGCUGAUCUGCAUAAAAGUGGAUCCAUGGCUACUGAAGGCGAAAGCGUAAUUGAGAAGUGGAUCCAUGGCUGCCGAAGACGUCCAAAUUGUAGUGACCAACAAGAAUCAGCUCCAACUCUUUGAAGAUGGUAGCGCUGCGUAUUUCAUGCACUAUUCUUGCAAAGAUGGCAAAAGGGAAAGAGACAAUGGUAACGACAUAAUCGUUCAUAAGGACAGCCUGCCCUACAUCAAGGAAUCUCACCUGUGCCUAUAUCCCCAUGUUGUGCCUCUAGGAUAUGUUGUGCACCACCACAUAGAUCCCAUAGUUCUCCUUCUCCCCAUUUUCCAUAUGUGAACUUUAAAAGGUGAUUAUCUAAAGUCGGAGGUUAUUAUGUGGGACUGGGGAUGGCGGUAGUUAUUAUUGGUGGUGGAGAUGUGGUAGUGGUGUUUGGAUGAUGCCGAUGGUAGUGAAAUGGCGAGAGGAGUGGAGUGGUGGUGGUGGUAAUGUGGUGGUAAUGACAUUUGAGUUAUGCUGGUGGUGGUAGAGUAGUGGUUAACUAGUGGGGUGGAAGUAAUACAUUUGUAACUAAUUAUUUGGAUAUUUAUGACCAUAAAUUUUGUUCUUUGUGACUAUGAUUUGGGCGGUUUGUGAUCGUGGCCUAAUUAAUUAAAUUAUUGGUCACCAACUUUUAUAAAAAUCACAAAACGUGACCAAACUUUUA
rnacentral:lncRNA from 1 species